rnacentral:rRNA from 1 species
AUUGAACGCUGGCGGCAUGCUUUACACAUGCAAGUCGAACGGUAACAGGGUGCUUGCACCGCUGACGAGUGGCGAACGGGUGAGUAAUGCGUCGGAACGUGCCGAGUAGUGGGGGAUAACGCAGCGAAAGUUGUGCUAAUACCGCAUACGUACUGAGGUAGAAAGUGGGGGACCUUCGGGCCUCACGCUAUUCGAGCGGCCGACGUCUGAUUAGCUAGUAGGUGGGGUAAAGGCUCACCUAGGCGACGAUCAGUAGCGGGUCUGAGAGGAUGAUCGGCCCCACUGGGACUGAGAGACGGCCCAGACUCCUACGGGAGGCAGCAGUGGGGAAUUUUGGACAAUGGGCGAAAGCCUGAUCCAGCCAUGCCGCGUGUCUGAAGAAGGCCUUCGGGUUGUAAAGGACUUUUGUCGGGGAGGAAAUCCCCAGCGUUAAUACCGCUGGGGGAUGACAGUACCUGAAGAAUAAGCACCGGCUAACUACGUGCCAGCCGCCGCCGUAACAC